rnacentral:rRNA from 1 species
GACGAACGCUGGCGGCGUGCCUAAUACAUGCAAGUCGAACGCAGUGGGGACGGUUUAGUAACACGUGGGUAACCUCCCAUCAGAGGGGAUAACAAUUGGAAACAGGUGCUAAACCGAUACUGAUGUAUAGACCCGCGGUGCAUUAGCUAGUGGGAGGGGUAACGGCGCACCAAGUCCACGAUGCAUAGCCGGCCUGAGAGGGUGAUCGGCCACACUGGGACUGAGACACGGCCCAGACUCCUACGGGAGGCAGCAGUAGGGAAUAUGCUGCAAUGGACGAAAGCCUGAUCCAGCAACGCCGCGUGAGUGAAGAAGGUUUUCGGAUCGUAAAACUCUGUUGUUAGGGAAGCGGUAUCUAACCAGAAAGCCACGGCUAACUACGUGCCAGCAGCCGCGGUAAUUC